rnacentral:rRNA from 1 species
CAAUAGCGUAUAUUAAAGUUGUUGCAGUUAAAAAGCUCGUAGUUGGAUUUCUGGUCGGAAGCUCCUGUCCUCUGAUGAGCGUACAAGUGCGUCCUACCAUCCUUCUGUUAACCUUUAAGGCUUUCGCGGCUUUCUAGGGGCUCAGAUAUUUUACCUUGAGAAAAUUAGAGUGUUUCAGGCAGGCUAGCGCCGGAAUACAUUAGCAUGGAAUAAUGGAAUAGGACUUUUGCCUCUUCUGUUGGUCAUGAGGCUCGAGUAAUGAUUAAUAGGGAUAGUUGGGGGCAUUAGUACUUAACUGUCAGUGGUGAAAUUCUCGGAUUUGUUAAAGACUAACUUAUGCGAAANCANNNGCCAAGGAUGUUUUCAUNAA